rfam:Felis catus isolate Cinnamon breed Abyssinian chromosome A2, whole genome shotgun sequence.
GCCUGGGUGGCUCAGUUGGUUAAGCAUCUGACUUUGGCUCAGGUCAUGAUCUCAUGGUUGGUAGGUUCGAGCCCCACAUCGGGCU